rnacentral:rRNA from 4 species
CUGCCAGUAGUCAUAU